UAUAGUAGAGACUUUUCCUGCAUCUCCAACAGGAAACAAUGAUGAUUUUAUGCCCCAGCACAAGGAAGGGUCUGCAGUAGCUCACUCAAUGAAACAGCUUUAUAAACCAAUGACUGCUAUACCACUAUACUGGAGUCCUGAAGAUGGUGCAGUAAAUAACACUAAAACUGCUGUUGAUUUUCAGGAUACUGGAGGAAAGUUCCUAACUGCCUGAGGCCAAAUUCAGAAUGCCACCAGGUUCCAGAUGCUACCAUGAUGCCAACCAGACUUCCCUGGGCAGAUGACCCCACUAAUGUGUCCUGGAGCCCCGCUUCCCCAGAGCCCCACCCUACUAGGGAAAGAGAGAGACAGGCUGGGAGUAUGGAUCGACCUGCCAAUGAUCAUGUUCAGCGGGGAAGCAAUUACAGAAGCCAGACCUUCCACCUUCUGUACCCCAUAAUGACCCUGGGGCCAUACUCCCAGAGGGAGAAAGAAUAGGAAAGCGAUCAGGGGAGGAGAUGGGAUACGGAGUUCUGGUGGUGGGAAUUGUGUGGAGUUGUACCCCUCUUAUCCUAUGGUUUUUGUCAGUAUUUCCUUUUUAUAAAUAAAAAAUAAAACAAAAUACAUAAACAUUUCAAAAAGUUGAGGUCUGAUCUAAAUGUUAUCUAAGAUUGAAUGUCAAUUUUGUGACAGUUUUAUGCAAAACUGGAUCAACAGAUAGUUUAAGGGGUGGUUGUCAUCUCUGUGGAAGAGAAAAUUCUCCUGACACACAAAGCCUGUGUUAUUUGGAAAUGACCAAUUCUGACUGGAAACUUUUCUUCAAAGUUCUCUGGGUUUUUCACUCCUAUUUCUUGUACUAAGUGAAAGUAUCAAAAGUGGCAAUGAUCUGAAACAAGGCUUUGUGAUGAGAUUAAAUAAAUUAGAAAUAAAAACUGAUCUCAAACCAUUUAAAUCUAAAGUAACAAAUAAAUUUUGAAAUAUCACAGAAAUCAUUAUAAUAUAAAUUAAGUUGUAGGAACCUAUGUCAAGUGGAUUGAAGUAAUUAUUUUACCUAUAAAUACAAUACUUGGCCUAUAAAGUCAGUCUUUACCUGGCUCACUUAAUAAUGGCCUUUUUUGGUCAAUAUCAUACCAUCCCAUUAUUUGGGACCCUAGUUAGGGAAUCCUUGCAUUCCCACACAAGUAUGAUAGGUCUAGAUCUCUAAUGGAUCCGCUCUCCAUCAUCACUGGUCACUUCCAUCAGGAACAUCAGCAUAAGCCUUCCUGAGGGCCUUCUCAGGAUCUUGGCCUCACCAUAAAGCAGCAGUGGUAAGGACUACCUCAUUCUCCGAAGGGAGGCUGGGUCAUCCUGCCCUGCUACUGGAGGAAGACAGGUCCAGAAAUGAAUGCAACCUAGGCUGUUCCCGGCUGUUACCAUGAACUGCAAGCUAAGACUGACAAAAGACUCAGAGGUUACACAGGCAACUAUGCUAACUAUAAAUAUAUGUGGGCUCGGGGCCAGGUGGAUGGGGUAAACAGCUACUUUAAUUCAUAGAUUUUUUUUUUCAUGAUUGGGAGCUACUCUCUGUCCUAAUUCACCUUUCUAUCCUUUUUCACUCCCCUGACACCAUCUUUCUCAGACAAUAUAUCCAAAUCCAUGUUAGCUAUCAAACUCACGCAAGAACUAUGAUAGUUUUAGGCCCCUAGGAACAUAAAAUGGACUAGCUUACUUCCACCCCUAUUCUCAUCUGCUCUAUUUCUACUUUUUGGUUCCUGUUUAUUAAUCAUUUUGUCCCCCUUUAUGUCGUGCCACCUUUCAGUCACUUUUAAUGCGUUUCAAGUUGCAGAUGCUAUGAUUUCAUCCAGAAUUCCCCAUACAAAUAACCUCACCAAUGUGCUCUGGAACCUCAUCUCUCCAGAUCUCUAUCCCACUAGGGAAAGAUAGAAACAGGCUGGGAGUAUGUAUCGACCUGUUAAUGCCCAUAAUCCAACAGAGAAGAGAUUACAUAAGCCAGAACUCCCACCUUCUGCACUCCAAAAAUAAUUCUGAUCUACACGCCCAGCAGGGCAGAAAUGAUAGGGGGAAGAUGAGCAGAGGGCUCCAACACCAUCAUGAUCUGGAGAGAGAAGAGGGAAAAGGGAGGGACAUUUGGAUGCAGAAAUGGUGUAUGUGUGACUAGGAAAGGAAGAGAAUACGGGGUCCUUAAAAAAAGGCAAAUAUAUACAAAAUAGACAGUUGCAGAAAUAACAUAUCUACAACCCAUAUCAACCCAUAUCUACAACCUAAGGCAAACUGAACAGCUACAGCUUACAAUGGAGGGACUGGGUAUUCAGGACUCUGGUGGUGAGAACAGUGUGGAGUUGUACCCCUGUAUUGUUGUAAUUUUGUAAAUCACUGUUAAAUCACUAAUAAAUAUUAUUUUUACAAGUCA